AUGGAGUUCUCUGCUGUCAACCUACCACCUGAACCUGAACAAGGAUGGAGCAGCAAUUUUGUCAUUGUUGAGGCAGCAGAAGGAAUGCUUGGAAUGCUCGCUGAUGUCUAUGACAGGGAUAACAUAUAUGACCCAUGUUGGCUGACGUAUUCCAUUCUGAGAAAUAACCAAUGGCACUUGGAGAAGGUCAUCCCGUUGCCGGGAAUGCAUCAUGUUGUUCUGCUUGGUGUAGGCGGGGGAUACCUGCUCAUAGGAGCCAUGUACAUCACAUCUUCUGGAGGGGAGGUGAAGUUUGGGUUAUUUUCGGUGGACGUCAAGACGUUUCAGGUCGAGUUGUUCACUCAGCGUAGCAAAGUCAUCUUCUCUGGUCGACUAUAUGCUGGUUUCCCACCAUCAUUAUGUGCACCAACCAUAUGA
rnacentral:rRNA from 1 species